GACAGCUUUACGAGUUCCAUUGAUCGGAAAAUUGAAAUGAAUGUAUAAUACCACGUGUUGGGUUUUUGUGUUCUUGACACAGCCGAAGGAAAACGUCACACGUGCGUUCGGAGGUUAGGAAAAACUUGAAACGCAUGGAGCUGGGGAUGCUCGGCGUGGAAUCGAUCCUCGAUUUCGUUUUUCUCGACUUUCAGGUGGGUUUUCGUUUCUUCUUUUUAGCGAUAAAACCAGAUAUUUUCGAGGGAGCUUCCACGUUUUCUCGUUCGGAUGUUCUCGAAGAACGAUCGAAAAGAGGUGUCGUUUUUUAGGUUAUACAUCGCACGGUCGAUAAAGUCGCAGUUGAGCAGCGAGGUUAGAGUUACCAACAUCUAACAAUAAAUACCCAAAUUAAACUCAAACUCUAGACUCUAGUCAUUUCGAUUUAAACUCGACAUCCAUCGAUCUAUUUCACGAUCAAACGUUCAACCAACGCACAUUUUAAUGUUUUGAGGUUAGGAACACUUUCGGAAACAGGAAAUGAAAAAAUAUGUCGGAUACCCGCUUUCAGAGAAACGUCCAAUUAAUUCCGCCCGAUAAUUGCGAGCGUAUUUUCAGUUUGUCGCGACCGCAGAAUAUUUCGUCGGCUGGCAAAAACUCGGUGUCCCAGCCGUUCGUGAAAACCAUCGGUCUUUUUUUUCGUUGCGUGCGCUCGUCGACGAAAAUCGAAUGCAAUGGGGCUAUCUUUGUCACCGGACGUCCAUCGGCAUCAAAGGCCGCCGCGGAAAUAAUUCAAGUAAAUGAAAAAGGGCUGGGAGACGCGGAGCAUCGAAUUGUCGCGAUAGAGAGCGACGAACAGAGAGACAGAUAGCGGAAUGGCGGUUGAAGCAGUGUUGGCCACCUUAGAUUUUUAGUACUUUUACCGAAGGUAAAAGGGGUGGUGGAAAAGGGACAUAAUUGAAUCAAUAAUAUUUGUUAUUUUCACAGCAUUAGUGUUAGUUUGUGCUUAAUAUUUACAUAAGUCAUACAAUGAUGGGAGCAGAAAAUGUUAUUUGAACCCUUUGGACUGGGAUGUCCCCUCUCAGGGGAGAUUAGAAGUCCAGAGGACUUCGAUAAGGAUUAAACAAGAUAAAUUCUCUGGAGCACAACAUUUUCAAAGCAGCACACUUCUUUGGAGGUUUCCAUUCAAAGUAUCACGAACAAAUAAAUCAAAGUAGCGUUACAAUAAAUUACAUGCCCUUUGUGCUACAUUAUUUAACACAACAUGGUUCCUUUUAGCACAUUCUGCAGCAAAAUGGCUUCCAGUGCAAAGGGUGAAUAGUAGAUAACAAAGUAUUGGUUGCUACAGGUUCAGGGAGAUCUAAGAUUGCCUGGUAUAAUUUUUCGGAUGUUCUUAAUAAAUUAAGAAAUAUCUCUAAUGUAUUACCGAGGUCCCACUUGCUUCCUGAAUUAAUUGCGACUAAAGAAAGACCGACUCGCCAAGUUUUAAUAUUUAGAAUAUUUAGGAUCAUUAUUCUGAACAGUGGCAGCAAAAAUUCCAGAAACUUGUCGAUCGAAAGACUUUGGUCACAAAGUAAUCACACGGUUCGAGCCUCUGGGGCUCCGGUAGGCACCAGAAAAAAGGAGUCCAUGUGACGAACUCGGAUUCAAUAUCCCCGGUAUCAAGAACCCAGGAAAGAACAAAAGGGAAUCGCGCUAAAGUGUAGCCAAGAAAGCGAGGAAGAGACGGGACCAAGGAGUGGCGAGAGCUUCUCUAACCGAAAGCCCGAGGGAAUCCAGAAAAACUGCGUUACCAUGAAAGCCCCGGAGUCAGCAAAGGAGUAGCGUAAAGUAAUCGAGGUUAUCCACCGAUGAAAACGCGACCGUGCGCUAAGAAUCGCGAGGACAAAGGAAAUGCAAAUAGCGAAAAUGUUCAUUAACUCUACCGUUACAAAGCGAACACGAAACUUCGCUAAACCGAAGUCUUUGCCUUUGUCUACGCCCUUUGGAGACCCGUGUAGUUCUUUUGAAGUACACAGCAACCCUGCACGGAAUUACCUGGCCGCCCGCCACGAGAAACAAAUAAACGCCGAGGUGAAUUAAAUACGUCAGGCGAACGGGUCAUUUAUAACCUAAAGAGAAACUAGAAACUGCACCGCUUUACCUCCGCAACGACAUCGAACACAUCCACAGAGCAACCAAUUGCUACCAAUAACGACUGCAAACGUAUCCUCGGAUCUUAGAGAAGCCCUGAGUUAUUAAACAUUUCCUCGUACACAGCCUAGAUUAAUUUUUAGAUCCGCCUUGCGCCCCCAACAACGUCAAACAUCCUUGAAGAAACCAAUCCGUCCCCCUAAAUUCAAGAGGGCUAGGAUCCCAGCCGCAACGGAUCAUAGAAUUAAUUCGAUUCCCCCUCGCCUUCGUUGUACCGUCGAAGCAGAAAGAAAAUGGGGACAAAGGGUCCUUGGGUAAAAAGGACUAGGAGGAUAGGGUUGAGAAGGGCGAGGGUCCCCUCGCGAAGAAACAUCAACCCGUUGGACUCCAGAGGGCGUAGGGACCAGCUUCUCCGCAUGCUAAGCGACGAAUUAGGCAAAUAUUUCCCCGCGUCGCUUGCGGACACGCGUAAAAAAAAAAAAAAAAAAAAAAGAAAAGAAUCCAUUUGCCUUUCGUUGGGGUGGAUCGACGACCCUCGGCGACAAAAGAGCGCGUUUCGGCCCUCGAGCCCCUAGGUCACCCCUUCGAUAGCGAAACCCCUUUCCUCGGCGUUCGUCUUUUUGACACUUAAUUACACGUAGCCGGCGUUACUUAUCCAUCCGUCGUCGACUCGGAUUCACGCUAUAAAUCGCGGUUUUCUUCGCGCGGAGGCUGACUCGGAGGUAGGCGCGAGGUUAGCCGGGUUCUAGGCUAGGAGUAAAUCUCUCCAACGUGACGCGACGCGGAAAUAUUCCUCGAAUAUCAGGAAUUUCACGGCUUCUUAGAAACGCGGCCGUAAUAGAAUCUUUUGAUAAAAAUUCAAUCUCGGCGGUGACGAGAGCCGCGUCGACGCGACGCCAUUUUCUCGCAGGGAUGAGUCGCGUCAUGGCGGACGACGACUUUUUGGCGGGAGAGUUGGUAAUAUGGUUCCCGGGAUAAUACUUCGUAGAUACGUGCGCGAGAGAAGCGGAGAAAAUUUUGAAACUAAAAUUCUAAAAUUUAGCCUGGUAUAAGGAAUGUCAAAAGCGACGAUAC